AAUAGAUACCCUGGUAGUCCACGCCGUAAACGACGAGUGCUAAGUGUUAGAGGGUUUCCGCCCUUUAGUGCUGCAGCUAACGCAUUAAGCACUCCGCCUGGGGAGUACGGUCGCAAGACUGAAACUCAAAGGAAUUGACGGGGGCCCGCACAAGCGGUGGAGCAUGUGGUUUAAUUCGAAGCAACGCGAAGAACCUUACCAGGUCUUGACAUCCCACUGACCGGUAUAGAGAUAUACCUUUCCCUUCGGGGACAGUGGUGACAGGUGGUGCAUGGUUGUCGUCAGCUCGUGUCGUGAGAUGUUGGGUUAAGUCCCGCAACGAGCGCAACCCUUGAUCUUAGUUGCCAGCAUUUAGUUGGGCACUCUAAGGUGACUGCCGGUGACAAACCGGAGGAAGGUGGAGAUGACGUCAAAUCAUCAUGCCCCUUAUGACCUGGGCUACACACGUGCUACAAUGGAUGGUACAAAGGGCUGCAAGACUGCGAAGUCAAGCCAAUCCCAUAAAACCAUUCUCAGUUCGGAUUGC
rnacentral:rRNA from 1 species